UACGUAGGGGGCGAGCGUUGUCCGGAUUUAUUGGGCGUAAAGCGCUCGCAGGCGGCUCGAUGCGUUCGUGCGUGAAAGACCCCGGCUCAACUGGGGGGCGUCGUGCGAUACGGUCGGGCUGGAGGCCAGUAGGGGGAUGCGGAAUUCCGGGUGUAGUGGUGGAAUGCGUAGAGAUCCGGAGGAACACCAGCGGCGAAGGCGGCAUCCUGGACUGGACCUGACGCUCAGGAGCGAAAGCGUGGGGAGCGAGUCCGG
rnacentral:rRNA from 1 species